UGAGAGCAUUAUUAUAAAAGCGCAAAAUG
rnacentral:sRNA from 1 species